rnacentral:rRNA from 1 species
GUGUCAGCAGCCGCGGUAAAACGUAGGACACAAGCGUUAUCCGGAAUUACUGGGCGUAAAGCGCAUGCAGGCGGAUUACCAAGUCAUGUGUGAAAGCUCCCGGCUAAACUGGGAGAGGACGGAUGAGACUGGUAGUCUGGAGGGUGGUAGAGGCGUGUGGAAUUCCGCGUGUAGUGGUGAAAUGCGUAGAGAUGCGGAGGAACACCAGUGGCGAAGGCGGCACGCUGGGCCACACCUGACGCUGAGAUGCGAAAGCAUGGGGAGCGAACGGGAUUAGAAACCCCGGUAGUCC